AGGCAUGUGACAUAGUGGUUUGGGUAUUGGACAACAUCUCUAGAGACCAGGGUUCGAUUCCCAGCUUGGCUA